CAAGAAGUAGCUUACACCUAAAGCAUUUAACUUACAAUUAAAACUAUGUUUGACAUCAAACCUUCUUGC
rnacentral:tRNA from 1 species